CAGUUUGAUCCUGGCUCAGAACGAACGCUGGCGGCGUGCCUGAGACAUGCAAGUCGUGGGAGAAUGUCGUAGCAAUACGAUUAGUAAACCGGCGUACGGGUGAGUAACACGUGGAUAACAUGCCUUGAAGCCUGGGAUAACCCGUCGAAAGACGGACUAAUACCGGAUAAGACCACGGGGAGUUCGCUUCCUGGGGUAAAAGGUGGCCUCUGCUCCUGCAAGCUAUCACUUCUAGAGUGGUCCGCGGCCUAUCAGCUAGUUGGUGAGGUAACGGCUCACCAAGGCUAAGACGGGUAGCUGGUCUAAGAGGAUGGUCAGCCACACUGGGACUGAGACACGGCCCAGAGUCCUACGGGAUGCAGCAGUCAGGAAUAUUGCGCAAUGGAGGAAACUCUGACGCAGCGACGCCGCGUGGGUGAUGAAGGCCUUCGGGUCGUAAAGCCCUGUCGGGAGGGAAGAAAAGCUUGUUGGCUAAUAUCCAGCGAGCCUUUGACGGUACCUUCAAAGGAAGCACCGGCUAACUCCGUGCCAGCAGCCGCGGUAAGACGGAGGGUGCAAGCGUUGUUCGGAUUGACUGGGCGUAAAGGGCGUGUAGGCGGUUCGUUAAGUCGGGUGUGAAAGCCCGGGGCUCAGCUCCGGAAGUGCGCCCGAAACUGGCGAGCUGG
rnacentral:rRNA from 1 species